rnacentral:rRNA from 1 species
CGUACCGUCCAUACGUUAUUCGGAAUUACGUGGGCUUUAAAGGGUAUGUAGGCGGCGCUGUUAGUCGGGUGUGAAAUCCCAGGGCUCAACCCUGGAACUGCGCCCGAUACUGCAGUGCUUGAGGGAGACAGAGGUAAGCGGAACUGAUGGUGGAGCGGUGAAAUGCGUUGAUAUCAUCAGGAACACCGGUGGCGAAAGCGGCUUACUGGGUCUCUUCUGACGCUGAGAUACGAAAGCGUAGGGGAGCGGAAGGGGAUUAGACUACCCCCGUAGUCCUAGCCGUAAACUCUGUGCACUCGAUCGGACGGGCCCCCCCAUAGGCUCUCGGUCGUAGCGAAAGUGUUAAGUGCACCGCCUGGGGAGUAUGGUCGCAAGGCUG